AUUACAGGUGUGUGCUACCACGCCUGGCUCUCAUUUGCCUAUUGGAAGAGGGCCGUAGAGAGCCUACUUCCUUCCUGCCAAGUGUGGUGGCAUGCAGGAGGCAGGAACAGCUCAGCCUAGGCUUUGAGUCCAGGUGUGAGGACAGAACCACCUGUCUCCUGACCCCAGUGUGUGUCACCUGUGUGUGAGCAAAUGAAUGUCUGAGGCCGUCGACUAUGCCACCAAGCCCCACCCGCUCUCGCCCCAGCAAACACACGCAGGCUCCAACCCCAAAUCGAUCCUAGGUAUUGGGGGAUCCACAGACAAAAGAGCAACCACAAAGAAAAUAAAUAAUGCUCGGCACUUGCUGUAAAACCUAACUUCCCAGAAACCAUGCAGAGUUUUGCUUUAGUUUUUCCCCUCUAGACUUCUAGCCAUUGUCUCAAGAAACACUUGGGUUACAGUCAGCUAACCAAACGCCUGGCUGGACCAGCGGGCCCCACAUCCUGCCUCUUAAAAACGAAUUCCUCACCUCGAUGCCGAGGGCCUACCCCAAGAAGCAACAGGAGAAGUGGCCUGAAUGGGCUCCGCGUGGCACUUGUGCCUGGCUGUGGGAAUUAAUCUCCACAUUGAGAAGCCUCUAUUGAUCCUUCAUACCAGAAAUAUAUCCACAUUAUAAACGCAAAGAGGCGAAAUGAAGCUGUCCAGUAACUAACAAGGCCAAGCAAGGGGCUCGUGUGGAAGCGGAUAACGGGAAUGUGGUCCACGACACAGCAGCACAGCGACUGCUCAGGGGACCGACAGGAGGGACAAAGUCACCCAGCCCUGCCUGGCCUGGCUCCCUCGGCCUUGGAAGAAGGCUGGGAUGCCUGUGGUGAGUUUUCACUCACUCACAGCUGCCAAGCUCGACCCUCAGCCAGACUCUUCCUGGGGACACAGAACAAGUAAGUUGUCUUCCUCAUCCUCAAAUUCUUACCAUACCAGGACCCCCAUGGAGUGAUGUCAGGACAGGAAGCUUUGGGGACAGGCAAGAGGAACCGCCACCUAUGACUGCAUGGGGGAUUCAGGAAGAGAGGGGCAGUGAGCAGCAUGAGGGACAGCAUGAGGUUCGGGGGCCCAGAGAUGACUGUGGAGCACAUUGUACCCUCAGGACAGGCUGCUGUCCCGACUCUGAGGAGGACAGGCCCAGCUGCACAGAUGUGUGUAAAACCUAAAAAAAA